GGCAGAGCCAUCACCAGUGUCAUCUAACAGCAUGUCGAGACUAGUUGACUCUGUGAGGUUCAAACUGUGUUGAGAGAGACCCACUGAAUGUCUUGGAGAGGAUGAAAUGGAAGCCUGAGACUGAGCCCUGCUACAGCUGCUGUGGUUUUCAGACUUCAGUCGAUCAUUUUCUGCUUUUAACUUCUCAAUUUCACUCUGCAUUCUGUUCAUUGCCUCCCGAAGCUGGUCAAGCUGAUGAGCAGAGCUAAGGGCUUCUAGACGAAUGUCAGUCAACUUCAU
rnacentral:lncRNA from 1 species